rnacentral:rRNA from 1 species
UGCGUAGGCGGCCAUCCAGGUCUGAUGUGAAAUCUCACGGCUCAACCGUGAAAUUGCGUUGGAAACCGGAUGGCUUGAGUGUGCUAGGGGUGUGUGGAACUUCCAGUGGAGCGGUGAAAUGUGUUGAUAUUGGAAGGAACGCCGGUGGCGAAAGCGACACACUGGGGCAUAACUGACGCUGAGGCACGAAAGCUAGGGUAGCGAACG